rnacentral:snRNA from 1 species
GGAUGUGAGGGUGAUCUGGCAUCCCAAAGUUUCCUGCUCCCUCAAAGAGGAUGGCCUUCCCUGAAUAGAGAGGACUGCUUUUGGUCCAGGGUUAUGUAAGUAGCUGCGCUCCCCUGCUAGAACCUUCAAACAAGCUCUCAAGAAAGGAAAGGAAAUAUGAAUAAAAACACAUAGGAACAUGUUGACCAGAGGGAAUGAAGUCCUUCAUUUUGUUC